UACGUAGGGUGCGAGCGUUAAUCGGAAUUACUGGGCGUAAAGCGUGCGCAGGCGGUUUUGUAAGUCAGAUGUGAAAUCCCCGGGCUUAACCUGGGAAUGGCAUUUGGGACUGCAAGGCUUGAGUGCGGCAGAGGAGACUGGAAUUCCUGGUGUAGCAGUGAAAUGCGUAGAUAUCAGGAGGAAUACCGAUGGCGAAGGCAGGUCUCUGGGCUGACACUGACGCUCAUGCACGAAAGCGUGGGGAGCAAACAGA
rnacentral:rRNA from 1 species